GCCUGGGUGGUUCAGUUGGUUAAGUGUCUGACUGGAGCUCAGGUUAUGACCUUGCAGUUUGUGGGUUUGAGCCCCACAUCGGGCU
rnacentral:tRNA from 1 species